rnacentral:rRNA from 1 species
AUGAACGCUAGCUACAGGCUUAACACAUGCAAGUCGAGGGGCAGCAUUUUAGUUUGCUUGCAAACUGAAGAUGGCGACCGGCGCACGGGUGAGUAACACGUAUCCAACCUGCCGAUAACUCCGGAAUAGCCUUUCGAAAGAAAGAUUAAUACCGGAUAGUAUACGAAUAUCGCAUGAUAUUUUUAUUAAAGAAUUUCGGUUAUCGAUGGGGAUGCGUUCCAUUAGUUUGUUGGCGGGGUAACGGCCCACCAAGACUACGAUGGAUAGGGGUUCUGAGAGGAAGGUCCCCCACAUUGGAACUGAGACACGGUCCAAACUCCUACGGGAGGCAGCAGUGAGGAAUAUUGGUCAAUGGGCGAGAGCCUGAACCAGCCAAGUAGCGUGAAGGAUGAAGGCUCUAUGGGUCAUAAACUUCUUUUAUAUGGGAAUAAAGUUUUCCACGUGUGGAAUUUUGUAUGUACCAUAUGAAUAAGGAUCGGCUAACUCCGUGCCAGCAGCCGCGGUAAUACGGAGGAUCCGAGCGUUAUCCGGAUUUAUUGGGUUUAAAGGGAGCGUAGGUGGAUUGUUAAGUCAGUUGUGAAAGUUUGCGGCUCAACCGUAAAAUUGCAGUUGAAACUGGCAGUCUUGAGUACAGUAGAGGUGGGCGGAAUUCGUGGUGUAGCGGUGAAAUGCUUAGAUAUCACGAAGAACUCCGAUUGCGAAGGCAGCUCACUAGACUGUCACUGACACUGAUGCUCGAAAGUGUGGGUAUCAAACAGGAUUAGAUACCCUGGUAGUCCACACAGUAAACGAUGAAUACUCGCUGUUUGCGAUAUACAGUAAGCGGCCAAGCGAAAGCAUUAAGUAUUCCACCUGGGGAGUACGCCGGCAACGGUGAAACUCAAAGGAAUUGACGGGGGCCCGCACAAGCGGAGGAACAUGUGGUUUAAUUCGAUGAUACGCGAGGAACCUUACCCGGGCUUAAAUUGCAACAGAAUAUAUUGGAAACAGUAUAGCCGUAAGGCUGUUGUGAAGGUGCUGCAUGGUUGUCGUCAGCUCGUGCCGUGAGGUGUCGGCUUAAGUGCCAUAACGAGCGCAACCCUUAUCUUUAGUUACUAACAGGUGAUGCUGAGGACUCUAGAGAGACUGCCGUCGUAAGAUGUGAGGAAGGUGGGGAUGACGUCAAAUCAGCACGGCCCUUACGUCCGGGGCUACACACGUGUUACAAUGGGGGGUACAGAAGGCGGCUACCUGGUGACAGGAUGCUAAUCCCAAAAACCUCUCUCAGUUCGGAUCAAAGUCUGCAACCCGACUUCGUGAAGCUGGAUUCGCUAGUAAUCGCGCAUCAGCCAUGGCGCGGUGAAUACGUUCCCGGGCCUUGUACACACCGCCCGUCAAGCCAUGAAAGCCGGGGGUACCUGAAGUACGUAACCGCAAGGAGCGUCCUAGGGUAAAACUGGUAAUUGGGGCU